GAACGCUGGCACGGACUUCGGUCUGGUGGCGAGUGGCGAACGGGUGAGUAAUGUAUCGGAACGUGCCUAGUAGCGGGGGAUAUGCGAGCGUAGCUAAUGCCGCAUACGCCCUUCGGGGAAAGCGGGGGACCUUCGGGCCUCGCACUAUUAGAGCGGCCGAUAUCGGAUUAGCUAGUUGGUGGGGGUAACGGCUCACCAAGGCGACGAUCCGUAGCUGGUUUGAGGAGGACGACCAGCCACACUGGGACUGAGACACGGCCCAGACUCCUACGGGAGGCAGCAGUGGGGAAUUUUUGGUUAAUGAGGAAACACGAUCCAGCCAUCCCGCGUGUGCAGUAGAGCCUUCCGGGUUGUAAACACUUUUGGCAGGAAAGAAACAGCACGGGAUAAUACCCCGUGCAACUGACUGUACCUGCAGAAUAAGCACCAGCUAACUACGUGCCCGUAGCCACUUGCGGUAAUACGUAGGGUGCAAGCGUUAAUCGGAAUUACUGGGCGUAAAGCGUGCGCAGGCGGUUCGGAAGAAGAUGUGAAAUCCCAGGCUUAACUUUGGAACUGCAUUUUUAACUACCGAGCUAGAGUGUGUCAGAGGGAGGUGGAAUUCCGCGUGUAGCAGUGAAAUGCGUAGAUAUGGAGGAACACCGAUGGCGAAGGCAGCCUCCUGGGAUAACACUGACGCUCAUGCACGAAAGCGUGGGAGCAAACGGGAUUAGAUACCCUGGUAGUCCACGCCUAAACGAUGUCAACUAGCUGUUGGACACGGGCCUUGGUAGCGCAACUAACGCGUGAUUAAACCGCCUACAGAGAUACGGUCGCAGUUAAAACUCGAAAGAUUGGCAGGGACCACACAAGCGGUGGAUGAUGUGGAUUAAUUCGAUGCAACACGAAAAACACUACCCUUGACAUGUCUGGAAUCCCGAGAUUUGGGGAGUGCUCGCAAGAGAACCGGAACACAGGUGCUGCAUGGCUGUCGUCAGCUCGUGUCAUUACGGAUCUUGAGUUGAUCCCGCAACGAGCGCAACCCUUGUCAUUAGUUGCUGAAAGGGCACUCUAAUGAGACUGCCAGUGAAGCAAACCGGAGGAAGGUGGGGAUGACGUCAAGUCCUCUUGGCCCUUAUGGGUAGAACCACACAUCAUACCAAUGGUCGGGACAGAGGGUCGCCAACCGCGAGGGAGCCAAUCCCGAAACCCGAUCGUAGUCCGGAUCGCAGUCUGUAACUCGACUGCGUGAAGUCGGAAUCGCUAGUAAUCGCGGAUCAGCAUGUCGCGGUGAAUACGUUCGGUCUUGUACACACCGCCCGUCACACCAUGGGAGUGGGUUUUACCAGAAGUAGUUAGCCUAACCGUAAGGAGGGCGAUUACCACGGUAGGAUUCAUGACUGGGGUGAAGUCGUAACAAGGUAG
rnacentral:rRNA from 1 species